GAACUUGUCUCAGUAGCAAACUAGCAGCCAGUGCAGGUCCUUAAGCACUAGUGCAAUGUGUUCAUGGCUAGACGUAUCACUCAGUAUUUCAGUUGCAGCAUCCUGCACUAGCUGCAGCUUCUGAACGAAGCGCAAGGGCAGCCCCACUUGGAGAAUGUCACAGCAAUCUCAACGUGAGACCACCGUGUACAUAUCUACCUAUAUGUACUUCAGUACUAUGGAGAAUUACAAGACUUCAGCUAUUUUCACAACUUAAUAUUGAUUUUUUUUUUUAAUGACAGAACGUUUUCUGUGGUUCCUUUCCCCCAUAAAGUUUGACAGCAAGAAGAAAAGCUUAAUAUUCAUAUAAAAAUGAACUAGAUUUUACUGGUGCUUCAUUGAUAGGCAAUAGUAUAUAAUUUGUGGAGGGACCAAGAACUCAGCAGGGAUGGGAAAUGAUUGUGCAUGAUAAACAUGGAUAUGUCUGUUUUGUGUAAUGAAUGUAUUCAGUCUGAUUGCUGUAAAUGCCACGGCAAACAGAUUUAAUCUUCCAAAAGGUUAACAGAGAGGGGGAAAAAAUAAUUAUUAUCCUAAAAAUACACAGAGAUAAUUUUUGAGUAGGUUGAAAGCCCAGGGAUGUAGACAAGGUGCUUGCAGGGGCUCAUAUGACCACAGUGCCCUCUCAGUCUUUGUCCAUUGUGACAAGGGUUUCUUUUACUAGGUGGGUCCAGAGUCUAGUAAUUGCAUCAUUGCAAGAGGGAACAUUGUCUGUCACCUUUAAAGAGGCAGUAAUAUAACCACUCUUGGAAAAUAACUCAGGGUCCAAAGGUUUUGGGUAACCUCCUGUUUGCAAAUACUGUUCUUCGUUGCAAGGUGCUUGAGGAGAUUGUGGCAGCUCAGCCACGGACACUCUUGCGAUGGGUGGGCCUGAUUAUCUUUACCCUUCCAAUCUGGAUCAGACCAGGAUCUGGGACUGACCUGGGCUUAGCUCAGAUGGAUUGCCUUAAUUACCUUAAACAGGAGUGAGAAAGGGUGGUGUGGCCCUGCCAUUCUUACUUGAUCUCUUGGCGGCUUUCAGCCAUGGUAUCUUCUGUGAGCCAGAACGGGAGGACAUUCUUUUUUAGUGAUGCUCCUAUGAGCUGAAAGGGUUUCUAUAUCAUCAUCAUCCAAAAGGAAUGUUAGGCUGAGUGCUGAGACUAUCACUUUACCAGUGUGUAAACUGUGGGGAAGGGAAGGGUUUUGAGAUACACUUACUAUUUGGGGCAACCCAACCCCUCUUCUCCCCCACCCUAUUAAAUGUCUAUCAUUUGUACUGGCAGAAAACAGGGCAAGGGAGGUCAACAUGCUUGUAACUAAAAGAAAAUGCCCCAUCUGAAAGAGCCAUUUGAGUGGGGGAGAAUUAAUGACAGAAGCAGGGCUAUCAGCCAUAAAAAUUAUUCUAAGCCUUGAAAAUUAUUUUUAAAACCAUUAAAUUGCAUAUGAAAUACUUAUUAAGGGUAACAAUUACUUUUAAAAGAUCUGCAUUUUUGGUACAAUGACAGUCGUUAGAAGCAUUCCAAUUUGCAUCGUUAUUAUUUGUUAAAAGAGGCUACAGUUUUCAUGAAUUCUCCGCUGCAAGCAGCAUGUAGAGUUUUGACACUUGCAAUAAAAUAAUAGAUGUUGGCAAUAGAGUAACAACAGAAACUGGAACUAGGCCUAAGCAAUUAGAGCCUGUCAGUAAUUGGGACUGAAUAAUCAAUCUAGACACUAAGAGAAUGUACACAGUUAGCAACAGUCUUGCAUUGACUGUGAGAUGGAUUGGCUGAAUUGCGAGGCCUUUUCUACUGCACUGUCUAUGGUUUCCUGACAGUCUAAUCUAUGAGCAAUUUAUUUCUCAGAUUUAAACAUCAAAUAUCAAUAUGUUAUGUUAUUUUCUUUCUUUCUUUCUUUCUUUCUUUCUUUCUUUCUUUCUUUCUUUCUUUCUUUCUUUCUCCUCUCUUCUUCUGUUUCCUAAAUAGACUUGAACAAGCUGGAGGUCUUGUUACUGAAAGGGAUAAAUGUUCAGGGAAGAACCUGAAAGAACUCGUAAGGAUCAGUGCCCACAAAAUCAGCAAAAUCAGUUGGCAGACUUCUUCUGGAACUAUCAUCAGUUCAGAUUGCAAGUAGAGGAGUUGCACAUUUUAAUGUGGCCUCAUCUUGUUUAAAAAAGGCCCUGUACCUAGAAAAAGGUACAGAGAGCAGUAGGUGAGGACCUCCUUCCUAAUCUGCUAGUUAUCUACAUACAAAGCAUUCAAAAGUGCAAUCAGCUCCCUGCAGUCUGAAAUGGCAUAGCCAAAAAAUGUUGCUACCAUGUAAAUUUGCAGAAAUCGUUUCUUGUACUACACGUGCCAGGUACAAUUGCUGUCCAGUAAGGCAUAUUUGUUGUUAAGCUCCAAAGUGACCUCCAGAUUUUUUACUCACCAUCAACAAAUAACAUUUUGAAAAUCUGGAGGAAUGUGUUUUGUCCUUCUGGCCUGUCUACUUUCUAUGAGCAAAUUAAUAAUGACUGCUUACUGAUAGAGUUUGGUAAAGCUCUGCUUUGGGUGAACACUAAAUAGUGCAGAAUCUUUGCUGCAUUGUCCAAACAUAUCAAUUCCCAAAUCACAGGGCCAGAUCUUCCAUGAUCCUCCAAAAAUGGCAUUUAGGGAUUGUAAUCAGGAGAUAAACUAGCUUUGUACCUCUCCUUUUAUUGUGAAGCAGGUUUCAUAUCCAGGUCCUAGACAAAGUUUAAUUAAGGGGUAACUGGAUUUCAGUACUUUUGGAAGAAAUUUAGAUGCAGCAGUAUGGAGUAGCCCAGUGAUGUAUUUUUUUAAAGCUUUCUAGGUUUCCACAUUGCCAUUCCUUCAUUAAUGCCAAGGAAUUCUGCAUAUCAUUUGCCAGGGAGACCUGGCAUUUUGCAGAGGUUUUGAGGUCAUGUUUUAGGCAGAGUAAUAGUGGGGACCUUUUCUCAGCCAAGAAACCUCUUCCAGGGGCCAUAUGCCAGUGGUGCAUGGGGCCAGAGGCAAAUGUAGCAGAGCAAAAGGUUCUUUGAUUCUUAUCACUUGAAUCACAGGCACUGAGGUCUCAAUGUGCCCCUCCCCCCUUGUAGAACACAGGCCCCUGUGACUGUGCAGUUCAAUGGGAUAGUGAUGGACAAGUUGUCUUCCGGGGAAGCUUGUCAAACAUUUCUGAUCUCCUGAUUGACAAGGCCCUAGUAAACUUCCACAUAACCCCACGGUUCCCCAGAACACAGUUUGAAAACCACAGGGUUAGCUGAAUAUUUCUGAAAAUACUGUAGAAAAGAAGCUCAGUAUUGACAAGAAAAGUACAGCUUCCAAAAUGGGCCGACAACAGACACUGUAAAUGGCUGUCAUUUCCAGCAGCAGUUUUUGGCACUGGCUCUGAAAAGGAACAUUUCCAAUUACUAAGAAUGGCGUUGGGUUGUUGUGCUGGAGAUUGCAGCCGGGGAGGGGAGGAAAGGGGACUGCAGGAAGAAAGUCCACUUUGUUGGGAGUUUAUAGAUGCCAGACAGCCACAUGAAAGUAAAUCUGUUUGGGCCUAGAGGCAUAUACAACCUUAGCAUUCUGCUCAGUCACUAGAUAUGUCAGUCUUUCAGUCUGAGUGCUUUUAAAAUGCCUGGCACUCCUGGCUUCUGUUUGACUUUAGACAUCACAACUGAACACUUUAAGAAAGAACAGAGAGGGAGGUUAAAAAUAAACAAGCGUGGUAGAGUGUCUGUCUUUAGGGUCUCUGUCCUUUCAGCACUUUGCAGAUUUUGAUAGAGUCAUUUUCCAGUAAAAAGUUGAAGCUUCAAUAGUCUACCAUGUAACUGACCAAACCAAAGGCUCCAUUAUCAGGAAAGUGGUAGGACGUAAUAGUCUCUGUGCUAGGUUACAGCAAGUGUUUUUUUGUAGGAACUGCUAUUAGGGAAACUGUUUAAAUGAUGAAGGGUGCUAACAUUCUUAUUUAUUCAUUUUAUAAAUAAAAGCAUUUAUAUCCUGCCUUAUCAUAAAAUAUCAAGGUGAUGUUCAGCAAUAUAAAAACAUAUUUUCAUUAAAAAAGCAAUACAGAAAUAUAAUUAAUUAUAUAAAAAUAAUAAAUGCCAUGAUCAAUGGUAUCCUGCACUUCUGAGAGGAUUUAGGAGAUUAAGGGAGUAGCACCUCCCACUUUCUGUCUCCCAUAAAAGCUAUUGAAUUGAGGAGAAAUGUUGAGGCUGGAGGAAGGGGGGGCAGGUCAGAAAAGGGGACUGGGGAGUAUGUUUAGGAAAAACAUAAUCAAUCCUUCUACCAGUCAGUGCUUUUCAUUAUCCUUGAAGCUUUCUUCUGAAUCUGUUCCAGAUUGUUGGCAUCAUUCUUUAAAAUUAUUAGGCGAGCAACCUUUUAUUAAGUGCUCUCUUCAUUUAAGUUUCCUCCUUUUUCUGAUGAGAAUUAUCUCUGCUCUGCUCUGUUCAUCAUCUUAAGUCUAUUAUUACAGGAGAAAUUGCUGAAGCUAUUAAUACAUACAGAGGGAAAGAAAAAUUAGAUUUUGAUAUCAUCUGUUUUACACAUACACACAGAACCAACCCUACAGUGUUUUGAGAAAGAGUCUAUUCAAAGCUAAGAUGGGAAAUAUGUCUGUCUGAAGCUAGGAAGUAACAGAUACGUCGCUAUGAAAAAUUAGGCAAAGUCACGUUGUCUUCAUUUUCCUGCUGUCUUUUGAUAAUAACUAGAUUAUGUCAAAUUUAGUAGAGAAGCAGAGAUCCAUUUGAAACUAGAGAGUCCUCCCCAUCAGCCGUGUCCAUUGCUUCAAAUGCAGUAAUUCCAUUACUCCUGACCUCUGGUGCAUUGACUUUUCAGCUACUCUGAGGGAUUAUCCACUUUCAUCUGUACUAUAGAACUCAAGGCAGAAACAGUUUGUAUACAAAACAAUAUCUUCAGGUAGGAGAGGUAAAGUGAGUGGUGUCUUUUAAAUGAAUUGCAGAGGUUCUGUGUAAAGUGAUGCACACAGGCACAAAAAUAAAUUCCAGCUACACAUCUAGCACAGAUGAGAUCUGAAUAGGCUGGGGCUUUACAGGUGUGAGAUCUUUGGGUCUUGGUGGAAAUGAAAACACCAAUUCAGUGAAUGGUGUGCUUGAGAUUGUUAGAAAGGGUAUUGAAAUAAAAUUAGGGAAGGACUAAAGAUCAAUAGGAGAGCACAGGUGUUCCCAGGUUCAAUCCCUGGCAUCUCCAGGUAGGACUGGGAGAUGCCCAAGAUUCUGGAAAGCUUCUGUCAGUCAAUACCAACAAUACUGAGCUAGAUGGACCAAUAGUUUGACUCAUUGUAAGGCUGCUCCCUAUGUUGCUGAAGAUAAAAUAUCAAGCACCACCAUGGCUUUAUCCUAUAUACUCAUGGUGAAACAAAUUCAGUUAAGUGUGGGUCCAUAUGUAGCUAAAAUGGCACCACCCUUGCACAAAAGGGAGGCAUCAGGACUCGAGGAACCUCAAAAUUUGCAGAAUUACCCCCCCCCCCCAAUAAUAAUACUUGGGACCAAAAACAAGCACAACUCAGUGACCAUUGAAUGCUGACUGAAAGUUGUGGAGAGGGAUAGAUGAGAAAUUGUAGGCAAAAUGGAAUGGAAUACUCUGAAAGAAGGCAUGGCUGCCUAGAACUGUGAGCAAAGCAUUCCACACUGCAUUCCACACGUUCUCUUAUAUAAAUCUAUCUUCCACCCACCUUUUGAAUGCAGGGCCAAUCUCAUAAAGUACUGAGGAACAAUAAUGGUGCCCUUAAUAAGGGUGUGUUUUUUCCAAGCUUUCUGGUUUAGGGUGAUUAAAAAAUAAUGAUUUGAGAAAACAUGAUUGGCUUCUACAAAAUACUAAAAUUAUAAAAUUGUGGAAGAAACGAAUGUGGGGGGAAAAUUACCCCUCUCUCGUCAUUCUGGAUCUCAGGGUUACCUAGUGAAAGUGAUUGGCGGUAGAUUCAGUACAAAGGAAAGCACUUGAGCUUGGAAGCUGUAUUCCAGCAGUGAAAGGGGGCAAGAGGUUGACAUUUGGAAAGGUUUCCCAUUUUGUUCCUGAAAUGGGUGCCUCUGUCUCUGAGUGGGGUGUCACUUAUGGAACAGAAAGCACAGAGAUUAACGGAGAGGUGAGUUGGCCCUGAACCCCUUGCUGUGUGCUGCAUUGCAUGUUUGAAGACGCGCACUUCUCCAGUGGAAUGCCAGCCUGCAAAGGGUUGACUCAUAAAAUCGUCCAUUUGCUGGUAGUGUGUACCUAUCGCGGCUAUGACAGAUCGCUUUGCUGUUCCUAGGGAAAAGAUCAUAAAAUAAAAAAGGACAACCUUCAGGGUAGCCUUAAGCCAAGUUAUUUAUUUAUUUUUUAUUAUUAACACUAAAAGCUUUACUUCUACCCCUUAAUAGACGGCUGUGUUUGAUGAAGCUUUCCGGGCUCUACAAAACGGUCAGGUGUCAGAGAUAUAUGGGCAGCUGGUGUUUGUUUAGUAAAUGAUGUUCCUGUUAUUGUAGUAGAAGACAGGCCUCGGUAGACUAUAAAUAUACUCUGUUCCCAUGCAUUAUGCCACAGUCCAAAGGCAUAUUUCAGGCUGUGGUUGUUUACUUUCUAAUCGGUUUCCAUUUCAUUAGGGUGCCCCCCGCACAACUAAAUUCUUUCCAUAUCGCAGAGUUUGCUGAAAGGUGAGCAGAUUACCUCAUUCAAGCCUGAAAGGAGAAUUAUGGACUGGCGAUAAAACAGAGAUAAACAUAUGUCGUGAUCGCUGUUAAAAUUCGCCAUCCAUUUGCGAGGAGCUGCUUCUACUGUUUAAAAGGCUGUGAAUGCCAUUUAUGGAGCUAAUCAGGAAACCAUAAAACUGGAGGUUUUUAAGU